rnacentral:rRNA from 1 species
AGUGAACGCUGGCGGUAGGCCUAACACAUGCAAGUCGAACGGCAGCACAGUAAGAGCUUGCUCUUACGGGUGGCGAGUGGCGGACGGGUGAGGAAUACAUCGGAAUCUAUUUUUUCGUGGGGGAUAACGUAGGGAAACUUACGCUAAUACCGCAUACGACCUACGGGUGAAAGCAGGGGAUCUUCGGACCUUGCGCGAUUGAAUGAGCCGAUGUCGGAUUAGCUAGUUGGCGGGGUAAGGGCCCACCAAGGCGACGAUCCGUAGCUGGUCUGAGAGGAUGAUCAGCCACACUGGAACUGAGACACGGUCCAGACUCCUACGGGAGGCAGCAGUGGGGAAUAUUGGACAAUGGGCGCAAGCCUGAUCCAGCCAUACCGCGUGGGUGAAGAAGGCCUUCGGGUUGUAAAGCCCUUUUGUUGGGAAAGAAAAGCAGCAGGUUAAUACCCCGCUGUUCUGACGGUACCCAAAGAAUAAGCACCGGCUAACUUCGUG